rnacentral:lncRNA from 1 species
GCUGCUUUAUAUUUCUACUGGUGAUGCCGGAUGAGAAUUACAACAGUGGCAAUCUUGUUUGAAGCUGCAUUCUUUUUAUGUUGACAAACAUUAGAGACGUAUUUCCUCCGUAAAGAAAUAUAAGAACGUUUAGUGAUCUAAACCCUCUUAUAGUAGGGAGUACAAAGCUACCAACUGCUCAAUAUUGACACUCGUCAGCAUGUAAUUAUGGCACAAACAUUAGGGACGUACAAAGCUAGCAUGUAAUUAUGCUUCAAGAAAAGGAAGAUCAUAUGAACAGGAAUCCAAACGAGUAACG